rnacentral:rRNA from 1 species
UACGGGGGGGGGCAAGCGUUGUUCGGAAUUACUGGGCGUAAAGGGCUCGUAGGUGGUCAACUAAGUCGGACGUGAAAUCCCUCGGCUUAACCGGGGAACUGCGUCCGAUACUGGAUGACUUGAGUUCGGGAGAGGGAUGCGGAAUUCCAGGUGUAGCGGUGAAAUGCGUAGAUAUCUGGAGGAACACCGGUGGCGAAGGCGGCAUCCUGGACCGACACUGACGCUGAGGAGCGAAAGCGUGGGGAGCAAACAGG